rnacentral:rRNA from 1 species
GACGAACGCUGGCGGCGUGCUUAACACAUGCAAGUCGAGCGGUAAGGCCCUUUCGGGGGUACACGAGCGGCGAACGGGUGAGUAACACGUGGGUGACCUGCCCUCAGCUCUGGGAUAAGCCUGGGAAACCGGGUCUAAUACUGGAUAUGACUCCAUGACGCAUGUUGUGGGGUGGAAAGCCUUGUGCGGCUGAGGAUGGGCCCGCGGCCUAUCAGCUUGUUGGUGGGGUGANGGCCUACCAAGGCGACGACGGGUAGCCGGCCUGAGAGGGCGACCGGCCACACUGGGACUGAGACACGGGCCCAGACUCCUACGGGAGGCAGCAGUGGGGAAUCUUGCGCAAUGGGCGAAAGCCUGACGCAGCGACGCCGCGUGAGGGAUGAC